ACUUCACUCGUUGGCACAAAAUAGAGAACUCUGAAGAGGUGCCGCUAAAUAACGAAGUCGCUAUGGAGUUUGCCAUUAUCCAACCUUCCUGUGCUCUGCUCUUCUCUUCGACGUGCUCUGGCUCUCCUCUUCCACGUUACUUUGUUUUCAUCUUUUGUUCUGCUCUACUCUCACUCACUCAAGAAAAGUCUUGGAUCAGAUGAAAGAAACACAGCUGAUAUAUUGGAAACACCACAAGUGCAUCUCCAACCUUAGAAACACCACAAGUAGCUGCUAUAGCGUUUGUUUUUGCUGCUUUAUUAGUCUCAGUUUGGAAUUGUGGAUAUUUAUUUAUAUAUGUUAUUUAGUGGGUUUUUGGUUGAUUAUUAUUAUUGUUAGUCUGUGCGCUUGUGGAAAGUAAUAUGUGAACGUGAAUUUGUAAUU